GUGCUCUCUUCAACAGCACAUAUACUAAAAUUGGAAUGACUCAGAGAUUAGCGUAGCCCCUGUGCAAGGAUGACACCCAAAUUUGUGAAGCAGUCCAUAUUUUU
ensembl:snRNA U6 U6 spliceosomal RNA